rnacentral:rRNA from 1 species
UACGAAGGGGGCUAGCGUUGCUCGGAAUCACUGGGCGUAAAGGGUGCGUAGGCGGGUCUUUUAAGUCAGGGGGUGAAAUCCUGGAGCUCAACUCCAGAACUGCCUUUGAUACUGAGGAUCUUGAGUUCGGGAGAGGUGAGUGGAACUGCGAGUGUAGAGGUGAAAUUCGUAGAUAUUCGCAAGAACACCAGUGGCGAAGGCGGCUCACUGGCUCAUUACUGACGCUCAGGCGCGAUAGCGUGGGGAUCAAACAGG